CGUGUCCUCUCACAUAAAAUCCAUCUCACCCUUUUGUGCACCACCGCGUGGGCACCCUUCGGGAUCAAACCGAUCCCGGAGGGGGCUUGCGUUUUCACACAAACCCCUUCUUAAAAGUGUAGAAUGUCCCCAUUUUUGCGAUAACACGCAAUCAAUACAACUUUCAACAACGGAUCUCUUGGCUCUCGCAUCGAUGAAGAACGCAGCGAAAUGCGAUACGUAAUGUGAAUUGCAGAAUUCAGUGAAUCAUCGAAUCUUUGAACGCACCUUGCGCCCCUUGGUAUUCCGAGGGGCACACCCGUUUGAGUGUCGUGAAAAUCUCAACCUUCUCGGUUUCUUCUGGACACCGAAGGAGGCUUGGACUUUGGAGGCCUUUGCUGGCAUCUCUCUCUUGAGAGAGCCAGCUCCUCUUAAAUGAAUUAGCGGGGUCCUCUUUGCUGGUCCUCGACAUGUGAUAAGAUGUUUCCAUGUCUUGGUUUCUGGCUCUGUUGCUUUUGGGACCCGCUUCUAACCGUCUCAACGAGACAACGUUUGAGCGCGUCUCCCUUCUCGGGAGACCCUCUCAACCUCACGAACCCUUGACCUCAAAUCGGGUGAGACUACCCGCUGAACUUAAGCAUAUCAA
rnacentral:rRNA from 1 species